AACCUAGCACACCUGCGGUGUGUACCUGCGGAAGGAUCAUUACAAGUGACCCCGGUCUAACCACCGGGAUGUUCAUAACCCUUUGUUGUCCGACUCUGUUGCCUCCGGGGCGACCCUGCCUUCGGGCGGGGGCUCCGGGUGGACACUUCAAACUCUUGCGUAACUUUGCAGUCUGAGUAAACUUAAUUAAUAAAUUAAAACUUUUAACAAUGGAUCU
rnacentral:misc_RNA from 1 species